rnacentral:rRNA from 1 species
UACGAAGGGGGCUAGCGUUGCUCGGAAUCACUGGGCGUAAAGGGUGCGUAGGCGGGUCUUUAAGUCAGAGGUGAAAUCCUGGAGCUCAACUCCAGAACUGCCUUUGAUACUGAAGAUCUUGAGUUCGGGAGAGGUGAGUGGAACUGCGAGUGUAGAGGUGAAAUUCGUAGAUAUUCGCAAGAACACCAGUGGCGAAGGCGGCUCACUGGCCCGAUACUGACGCUGAGGUGCGAAAGCGUGGGGAGCAAACAG